rnacentral:rRNA from 1 species
UACGUAGGGGGCAAGCGUUGUCCGGAAUCAUUGGGCGUAAAGAGCGUGUAGGCGGCUCGAUAAGUCCGCUGUGAAAGUCCAGGGCUCAACCCUGGAAGGCCGGUGGAAACUGUCGGGCUGGAGUCCGGAAGAGGCGAGUGGAAUUCCCGGUGUAGCGGUGAAAUGCGCAGAUAUCGGGAGGAACACCAAUGGCGAAGGCAGCUCGCUGGGACGGUACUGACGCUGAGACGCGAAAGCGUGGGGAGCGAACCGG